AGCUUGCUCCCUGAUGUUAGCGGCGGACGGGUGAGUAACACGUGGGUAACCUGCCUGUAAGACUGGGAUAACUCCGGGAAACCGGGGCUAAUACCGGAUGCUUGUUUGAACCGCAUGGUUCAAACAUAAAAGGUGGCUUCGGCUACCACUUACAGAUGGACCCGCGGCGCAUUAGCUAGUUGGUGAGGUAAUGGCUCACCAAGGCAACGAUGCGUAGCCGACCUGAGAGGGUGAUCGGCCACACUGGGACUGAGACACGGCCCAGACUCCUACGGGAGGCAGCAGUAGGGAAUCUUCCGCAAUGGACGAAAGUCUGACGGAGCAACGCCGCGUGAGUGAUGAAGGUUUUCGGAUCGUAAAGCUCUGUUGUUAGGGAAGAACAAGUACCGUUCGAAUAGGGCGGUACCUUGACGGUACCUAACCAGAAAGCCACGGCUAACUACGUGCCAGCAGCCGCGGUAAUACGUAGGUGGCAAGCGUUGUCCGGAAUUAUUGGGCGUAAAGGGCUCGCAGGCGGUUCCUUAAGUCUGAUGUGAAAGCCCCCGGCUCAACCGGGGAGGGUCAUUGGAAACUGGGGAACUUGAGUGCAGAAGAGGAGAGUGGAAUUCCACGUGUAGCGGUGAAAUGCGUAAAGAUGUGGAGGAACACCAGUGGCGAAGGCGACUCUCUGGUCUGUAACUGACGCUGAGGAGCGAAAGCGUGGGGAGCGAACACGAUUACAUACCCUGGUAGUCCACGC
rnacentral:rRNA from 1 species